GUUGAAGCCCCUCCUGUGUAACCACUAUACCCAGCAUGUUCCUCCUCCUGUUUCUGUGGAGGGUCAUGAGGAAUUCGAAGUAGCUGCUGUAAAGUUUAGGGUAUUUAUACUUACCUCUCUCUCUUAACUCCCUGCCCUAUCGUGGUUUCUGUUUCAGUUCCCUUUAGCGCUUGUUGUGUUCAGUUGUGAUUUUCGUGCUUGACCUUGGCUUUGUAUCUGACUCAGUUUAUCUCUCUAUCCCUGUUUUGUCUUGUUUGCCGGCUUACUGACUACUGUGUACCAGACCUUGGCUAGUUUUUGUUCUCGCAGUGUCUUUGUUCCCUUGACCUCGGCUUGUUCUUGACUCUGUCUAUUCUCUGCUUUACGGCGAGUCCGGCCAUUCUAAGGUCCGGUAAGUCGUAUCUGCUCUAUCUGUCGAUUGUUGGACUAAAUCUUGUGUGUAGGGGUAAACUACCGUGACAUUACAAUAGGGCCAUGGACCUCGCAGAUGUAAGUCAGCAAUUGGCUAGAUUUACAGAGCAGGAUCACCG